rnacentral:lncRNA from 1 species
CCUGCGAAUCUGAACAAAGCCUGGAUCUGUGACCAACUCUUUGAUCUUUUUUUUGAUCUUUUUCUCUUCUCUUUCUUGAUCUCUUUCUCUUGAUCUUGAAGCAAUCAAGAUCUGAAAACUAGUAAGGAAGAGGGACAUCCAAACUCCUUUUGAGCGUGUAGAUGGUGGGACGUCCAAGGAGCUUGGACGUGUGAACCAAAGAGAGGAAGAGAGGAGGGUGUGGGGCUGUUUGGGAGGCUUGAAGUAAUCUAAAAAUCUGAUGUAAAAAACUUAAGGAAGGGCCUCUUAAAUAGAGGAGCAAUUGGAGUCCUAACC